rnacentral:rRNA from 1 species
CCUACGGGAGGCAGCAGUAAGGAAUAUUGGUCAAUGGACGCAAGUCUGAACCAGCCAUGCCGCGUGAAGGAUUAAGGCCCUCUGGGUUGUAAACUUCUUUUAUAGGGGACGAAAAAAGGGCAUUCUUGCUCACUUGACGGUACCCUAGGAAUAAGCACCGGCUAACUCCGUGCCAGCAGCCGCGGUAAUACGGAGGGUGCAAGCGUUAUCCGGAUUUACUGGGUUUAAAGGGUGCGUAGGUGGGUUGGUAAGUCAGCGGUGAAAUCUUCGAGCUUAACUCGGAAACUGCCAUUGAUACUAUCAAUCUUGAAUCAUCUAGAGGUAAGCGGAAUAUGUCAUGUAGCGGUGAAAUGCUUAGAUAUGACAUAGAACACCAAUUGCGAAGGCAGCUUACUAUGGAUGUAUUGACACUGAGGCACGAAAGCGUGGGGAUCAAACAGGAUUAGAUACCCUGGUAGUCCACGACCUAACGAUAGAUACUACGACAUUAGUGUAUAUACUAUAAGUAGUNUGUAGCGAAGACGAUAAGUAUACCACCGACGGAAGGUAACGUACCGCGAGUUAGUAAACGUUAAAGGUUAAAGUUAGUUACGGCGNGAGACGAGCGACGGACGACGACGAGGGAGGAGG